AAUAUAUCCAGGAAAUAUGGUUGAUGAUCUUACAGGUACUUAAAUGAUUGUUUGUUAUUGAUGUUUGAAUAAGCUGAUGCAUCUUUCUGUUUCAAAUUUACUGUUAUGUUGUUGGGGCGUGAGCUCUUCGAUUCGAGUUAUAUAGUGGUUAUCUCGCAAAGAAAUUAGGUUGCAUUUGUUUGAGGAAUUUUUUUCCUCAAAAGUUGCAACAUUUGUUGCCAAAUGACUUUGUUGUUUAAAGGGUCGUCUCCAGACCCAUUUCUCGGUCAUAAAAAGGUAUCUUUGUUGAAGUUUUAUCAAGAAGUAUUUGCAAAACUUUUCCAAGAAACUGGGAUCGAAGACGUUGUUAUAGGACAUUUUUCAGUGAAUAAUUCUUCCACCCAUAAAGCACUCACAAAUUCUCAACAAGUUUGUAAUUAGUCACAUGUUUCCUUUUUAUUUCCAAAAAAAAAAUUCAAUAAACUUUUACCAAAUUUUGUUCCAAUCAGUCCUUAAUAGUUUAAACAUACUAAGUGAAGAUCUUUGUCAACUGACGUAUACAUUCUUCAGCCUAGAUAGAUUAAGAAUGGCAAUAAUCAGUAGCGAGGAGGAGAUUUGUGGUGAGGGUGGUUGUGGGGGG
rnacentral:lncRNA from 1 species